rnacentral:rRNA from 1 species
GACGAACGCUGGCGGCGUGCCUAACACAUGCAAGUCGAACGGAGAUACGAUUUCGGUUGUAUCUUAGUGGCGAACGGGUGAGUAACGCGUGAACAACCUGACUCUUAGAGGGGGAUAACACUCGGAAACGGGUGCUAAUACCGCAUAAGACCACGACCCGGCAUCGGGAUGAGGUCAAAGGAGCAAUCCGCUGAGAGAGGGGUUCGCGUCCCAUUAGAUAGAUGGCGGGGUAACGGCCCACCAUGUCAACGAUGGUUAGCCGAGCUGAGAGGCUGAUCGGCCACACUGGAACUGAGACACGGUCCAGACUCCGACGAGAGGCAGCAGUGGGGAAUAUUGGGCAAUGGGCGCAAGCCUGUCCCAGCAACGCCGCGUGAGGGAAGAAGGCUUUCGGGUUGUAAACCUCUGUCCUUGGUGACGAAAAAAAUGACGGUAGCCGAGGAGGAAGCCCCGGCUAACUACGUGCCAGCCGCCGCGGUAAUAC